AUGGGCCCCCGGCGCAUUAGCUAGUUGGUGAGGUAACGGCUCACCAAGGCGACGAUGCGUAGCCUACUUGAGAGGGUGAUCGGCCACACUGGGACUGAGACACGGCCCAGACUCCUACGGGAGGCAGCAGUAGGGAAUCUUCCGCAAUGGACGAAAGUCUGACGGAGCACCGCCGCGUGAGUGAUGAAGGACUUCGGUUCGUAAAGCUCUGUUGUUAGGUAAGAACAAGUGCCGUUCAAAUAGGGCGGCACCUUGACGGUACCUACCCAGAAAGCCACGGCUAACUACGUGCCAGCAGCCGCGGUAAUACGUAGGUGGCAAGCGUUGUCCGGAACUAUUGGGCGUAAAGCGCGCGCAGGCGGUCUUUUAAGUCUGAUGUGAAAGCCCACGGCUCAACCGUGGAGGGUCAUUGGAAACUGGCAGACUUGAGUACAGAAGAGGAGAGUGGAAUUCCCCGUGUAGCGGUGAAAUGCGUAGAUAUGUGGAGGAACACCAGUGGCGAAGGCGACUCUCUGGUCUGUAACUGACGCUGAGGCGCGAAAGCGUGGGGAGCAAACAG
rnacentral:rRNA from 1 species